UACAGAGGUCUCAAGCGUUGUUCGGAUUCAUUGGGCGUAAAGGGUGCGUAGGCGGCGCGGUAAGUCGGGUGUGAAAUCUUGGAGCUUAACUCCGAAACUGCAUUCGAUACUGCCGUGCUUGAGGACUGGAGAGGAGACUGGAAUUUACGGUGUAGCGGUGAAAUGCGUAGAUAUCGUAAGGAACACCAGGAGCGAAAGCGGCUUACUGGGCGUUUUCUGACGCUGAUGCACGAAAGCUAGGGGAGCGAACGGG
rnacentral:rRNA from 1 species